CCUACGGGCGGCAGCAGUGAGGAAUAUUGGUCAAUGGCCGAGAGGCUGAACCAGCCAAGUCGCGUGAGGGAAGACGGCCCUACGGGUUGUAAACCUCUUUUGUCGGGGAGCAAAGAGAGUCACGUGUGACUCAUUGAGAGUACCCGAAGAAAAAGCAUCGGCUAACUACGUGCCAGCAGCCGCGGUAAUACGUAGGGAGCAAGCGUUAUCCGGAUUUACUGGGUGUAAAGGGCGUGUAGGCGGGCAUGCAAGCCAGAAGUGAAAUCUGGGGGCUUAACCCCCAAACUGCUUUUGGAACUGCGUGUCUUGAGUGAUGGAGAGGCAGGCGGAAUUCCCAGUGUAGCGGUGAAAUGCGUAGAUAUUGGGAGGAACACCAGUGGCGAAGGCGGCCUGCUGGACAUUAACUGACGCUGAGGCGCGAAAGCGUGGGGAGCAAACAGGAUUAGAUACCCCAGUAGUC
rnacentral:rRNA from 1 species